UGAGUAACCGUGAGUAACCUGCCCUUGACUCUGGGAUAAGCCUGGGAAACCGGGUCUAAUACCGGAUAUGACCUGUCACCGCAUGGUGGUGGGUGGAAAGCUUUUUUGUGGUUUUGGAUGGACUCGCGGCCUAUCAGCUUGUUGGUGAGGUAAUGGCUUACCAAGGCGACGACGGGUAGCCGGCCUGAGAGGGUGACCGGCCACACUGGGACUGAGACACGGCCCAGACUCCUACGGGAGGCAGCAGUGGGGAAUAUUGCACAAUGGGCGCAAGCCUGAUGCAGCGACGCCGCGUGAGGGAUGAAGGCCUUCGGGUUGUAAACCUCUUUCAGUAGGGAAGAAGCGAAAGUGACGGUACCUGCAGAAGAAGCGCCGGCUAACUACGUGCCAGCAGCCGCGGUAAUACGUAGGGCGCAAGCGUUAUCCGGAAUUAUUGGGCGUAAAGAGCUCGUAGGCGGUUUGUCGCGUCUGCCGUGAAAGUCCGGGGCUCAACUCCGGAUCUGCGGUGGGUACGGGCAGACUAGAGUGAUGUAGGGGAGACUGGAAUUCCUGGUGUAGCGGUGAAAUGCGCAGAUAUCAGGAGGAACACCGAUGGCGAAGGCAGGUCUCUGGGCAUUAACUGACGCUGAGGAGCGAAAGCAUGGGGAGCGAACAGGAUUAGAUACCCUGGUAGUCCAUGCCGUAAACGUUGGGCACUAGGUGUGGGGGACAUUCCACGUUUUCCGCGCCGUAGCUAACGCAUUAAGUGCCCCGCCUGGGGAGUACGGCCGCAAGGCUAAAACUCAAAGGAAUUGACGGGGGCCCGCACAAGCGGCGGAGCAUGCGGAUUAAUUCGAUGCAACGCGAAGAACCUUACCAAGGCUUGACAUGAACCGGAAACGCCUGGAAGACAGGCGCCCCGCUUGGCGGCCGGUUUACAGGGUGGGUGCAUGGGUUGUCCGUCCAGCUCCGUGCCGUGAGAAUGUUGGGGUUAAAGUCCGCAACGAGCGCAACCCUCGUUCUAUGUUGCCAGCGCGUGAUGGCGGGGACUCAUAGGAGACUGCCGGGGUCAACUCGGAGGAAGGUGGGGACGACGUCAAAUCAUCAUGCCCCUUAUGUCUUGGGCUUCACGCAUGCUACAAUGGCCGGUACAAAGGGUUGCGAUACUGUGAGGUGGAGCUAAUCCCAAAAAGCCGGUCUCAGUUCGGAUUGGGGUCUGCAACUCUGACCCGCAUGAAGUCGGAGUCGCUAGUAAUCGCAGA
rnacentral:rRNA from 1 species